rnacentral:tRNA from 1 species
GGGCGGUUGGCUCAGGGGUAGAGCGCUUCCUUGACACGGAAGAGGUCACAGGUUCAAAUCCUGUACCGCCCA